rnacentral:rRNA from 1 species
GCCCCGAGAUGAGUUCUCCCUGACUCCUUGAGAGGCCUGAAGGAACGUUGAAGACGACGACGUUGAUAGGCCGGGUGUGUAAGCGCAGCGAUGCGUUGAGCUAACCGGUACUAAUGAACCGUGAGGCUUAACCUUACAACGCCGAAG